rnacentral:snoRNA from 2 species
AGGCCGUGAUGUGGACACUUGCGUAAUAACUCCUUGAACCUUUCCCAAGUUUCAUAUAAGGAUUCCCCGUCCUUAUAUGGGAGGGCGUUGAGCCAAGCUU